rnacentral:rRNA from 1 species
AGCGAACGCUGGCGGCAGGCCUAACACAUGCAAGUCGAACGAACCUUUCGGGGUUAGUGGCGGACGGGUGAGUAACACGUGGGAACGUGCCUUUAGGUUCGGAAUAACUCAGGGAAACUUGUGCUAAUACCGAAUGUGCCCUUCGGGGGAAAGAUUAAUCGCCUUUAGAGCGGCCCGCGUCUGAUUAGCUAGUUGGUUGAGGUAAUGGCUCACCAAGGCGACGAUCAGUAGCUGGUCUGAGAGGAUGAUCAGCCACAUUGGGACUGAGACACGGCCCAAACUCCUACGGGAGGCAGCAGUGGGGAAGCUUGCGCAAUGGGCGAAAGCCUGACGCAGCCAUGCCGCGUGAAUGAUGAAGGUCUUAGGAUUGUAAAAUUCUUUCACCGGGGACGAUAAGGACGGUACCCGGAGAAGAAGCCCCGGCUAACUUCGU